AAUGAACGUUGGCGGCGUGGAUUAGGCAUGCAAGUCGCGCGAGAAAUUUCCUUCGGGAAUGGACAGCGGCGGAAGGGAGAGGAAUAAGUAGAAAUCUGCCCUCGGACGGGGAUAGCGGCGGGAAACUGCCGGUAAUACCCGAUAACAUCUUUGGAUCAAAUGGUGUGAUUCCGCCUGAGGAUGAGUCUACUUCCUAUUAGCUAGUUGGUGUGGUAAUGGCUCACCAAGGCAACGAUGGGUAGCGGGUGUGAGAGCACGAUCCGCCUCACUGGGACUGAGACACUGCCCAGACACCUACGGGUGGCUGCAGUCGAGAAUCUUCGGCAAUGGGGGAAACCCUGACCGAGCGACGCCGCGUGCGGGAUGAAGGCCCUCGGGUUGUAAACCGCUGUCGUAAGGGAACAAAUCUAAGAGGGUACUCCCUUUUAGUUGAGUGAUCUUAGGAGGAAGGACGGGCUAAGUUCGUG
rnacentral:rRNA from 1 species